rnacentral:rRNA from 1 species
AGAACGAACGCUGGCGGCAGGCUUAACACAUGCAAGUCGAACGCCCCGCAAGGGGAGUGGCAGACGGGUGAGUAACGCGUGGGAACGUACCUUUCGCUUCGGAAUAGUCCCGGGAAACUGGGUUUAAUGCCGGAUACGCCGUAUUGGGAAAGAUUUAUCGGCGAAAGAUCGGCCCGCGUUAGAUUAGCUAGUUGGCGGUGUAAUGGACCACCAAGGCUACGAUCUAUAGCUGGUCUGAGAGGAUGAUCAGCCACACUGGGACUGAGACACGGCCCAGACUCCUACGGGAGGCAGCAGUGGGGAAUCUUGGACAAUGGGCGCAAGCCUGAUCCAGCCAUGCCGCGUGAGUGAAGAAGGCCUUAGGGUUGUAAAACUCUUUCGCCGGAGAAGAUAAUGACGGUAUCCGGAGAAGAAGCCCGGCUAACUUCGUGCCAGCAGCCGC